rnacentral:rRNA from 1 species
AUUGAACGCUGGCGGCAUGCCUUACACAUGCAAGUCGAACGGUAACGCGGGGCAACCUGGCGACGAGUGGCGAACGGGUGAGUAAUAUAUCGGAACGUGCCCAGUCGUGGGGGAUAACGUAGAGAAAUUUACGCUAAUACCGCAUACGAUCUAUGGAUGAAAGCGGGGGAUCGCAAGACCUCGCGCGAUUGGAGCGGCUGAUAUCAGAUUAGGUUGUUGGUGGGGUAAAAGCCCACCAAGCCGACGAUCUGUAGCUGGUUUGAGAGAACGACCAGCCACACUGGGACUGAGACACGGCCCAGACUCCUACGGGAGGCAGCAGUGGGGAAUUUUGGACAAUGGGCGCAAGCCUGAUCCAGCAAUGCCGCGUGCAGGAAGAAGGCCUUCGGGUUGUAAACUGCUUUUGUACGGAACGAAACAGCUCUUUCUCAUAAAGAGGGCUAAUGACGGUACCGUAAGAAUAAGCACCGGCUAACUACGUGCCAGCCGCCGCGGUAA